rnacentral:rRNA from 1 species
CGGGGGGCAGCAGUGGGGAAUCUUGCGCAAUGGGCGAAAGCCUGACGCAGCGACGCCGCGUGGGCGAAGAAGGCCUUCGGGUUGUAAAGCCCUGUGGGGGAGAACGAACCGUACGGGGGCUAAUACCCUUCGUACCUGACGGUACUCUUUUAGCAAGCAUCGGCUAACUCUGUGCCAGCAGCCGCGGUAAGACAGAGGAUGCAAACGUUGCUCGGAAUUACUGGGCGUAAAGCGCGUGUAGGCGGUCUGAUAAGUCGGACGUGAAAUCCCGGGGCUCAACCCCGGAAGGGCGUUCGAUACUGCCAGACUUGGGUUCUGAAGAGGAGAGCGGAAUUCCCGGUGUAGAGGUGAAAUUCGUAGAUAUCGGGAGGAACACCAGUGGCGAAGGCGGCUCUCUGGGCAGAUACCGACGCUGAGACGCGAAAGCGUGGGAAGCAAACAGGAUUAGAUACCCGAGU